ACCUCUAUCAGAAUUCAGUGCUUUUUGUACAUUUGUGAAGUCAAUUGUAAUUCACUUUUGUAUUGAUAGUUCUAUUUACACUAAAGAAAUGUACAAGCUGCCUUGUGGGCCUCAGUGUCGUGGGGGUCCCUGUCUCCCCCACUGUUACUAUCGGGACUUGCCGCGCGAGCCACCUCACAUGCAGCAAUGGCAGCCACCACCAUACAGUCUACCACCAGGUGGCUACCCUCCGCAGCACUAUCCACAUCCACACCCGCAGCCGUAUCCGCCACAUCAGUAUCCACCCCCUCCCCAUUACCCCCCUCAUUAUGAUCACUGUGAUCACAUGCAGAGAUAGAGUACAUGUAAGAAUGGAGUUUUGAUUUUCGGUCUGUCAAUAUGAUUAUGUAUCAUCAUAUGAAAUGUUUUGUGAUAUCUUCUUAAAGUACCAUG